CUUCUGAUUAUUAUUAGGUCUUUCCACUUUUCUGUGAAAAGACCUAUUGUUUUUCUUCUGAUUAUUUUUUUUUUUUUCUUCCGCCUAAUUUUGUUCUUGCGAUAAACAUUUGUUUCGCAAUAUGUCGCUUAGAUAUUUUGUAUAUGAUAUCGAACAGUUUAUGCGCUUUUGAAAUUUACCCUGCGUAAACGAAUACUUUUCUUUGUAGGAGUUAUCUCCCCAAACACUGUUUUCCUUGUUAUCGCAUCUCCUUCGCAACCGUUCAAGAUUAUGACAAAUUUAUUUUACAAAAUUGCUCGUUAUAUCCUUCGCAUGAUUUGUCCUAUUUUGACCGAAGCGAUAUGACCGCUCCAUAUGAGAGUUAUUUCCCC
rnacentral:lncRNA from 1 species